AGGUGAAAAUAAAACAUUCCCUUGCAGUUGAUACUUUAGAGCAGCUAAUUCAAAACGGUGAAUGUUGUAGCUAUGACUUUGCAUUUGUUGAUGCGGAGAAGCGUAUGUAUGAUGAGUAUUAUGAAUUACUGUUGCAACUGGUAAAGUUCUAGGCCAGCUACUUGCAAGGUCAUUUUUAUUCCAGAACAUGGUGCUAUAGUGCAUAGCCUUGUGUGGAUUUUAAAAGCUACAUUGAAGCUGCUAGCAGAGUUAUUUAAAUUCCUGGAUUAUAUCAUUUAUUAAUCCAUAAGCUGUAUUUUCGGUUAUGUACAAUAUAGAAGUACAAUAAACUUCUUGGGAUGAACACAGGUAAUUUUUAUCUCAACUUUAAAAACUUACCAUAUAUCAGGCUGUCGAGACAAGGAUUUAAUGCAGGAAAUUUCCAGGAAAAUUAAAGUAUUCUACUUUGCAGGGUAUGAAAAUUGAACGCAACAGCAUAUGAACUAAGGCAGAAUAAAUUUUUGAAGGCAUGAUUUUUGUUAUUUGAUGGGGCCUAAUUGUAUUUUCUUGGAAGCUUAUAUGAUAGAUUUUUGACAUUAAUAUAGGGGUUCGUUAGAAUUGCUAAAAUCAUGUAAAUUGAUUUCUGUUACGGAGACAGUGCCAUCUAUCAUACGACUAUGUCUUUUUAUACAAAGGAUAGAUUUCAACUUCGGCAGAGUAAUCUUGUCAUGAUUAUUUCUUGGUUCAAAAUGCCCCUAGAAGUUUUUGAGCGUAAAGCUGUGUUGUGAUAUAUAAUACAUCUCUACGUCGAGUGCUAGUUUCAAGGUUGGUAUCUGCAUUCCUUAUUUUUUCCUCUCUUGUGUUGUCAACAAUUGCUCUGUUUUGAUUGCUAUUCUAAGGCGUUCAGGUUAUGUCGUUGACGUGGGAGCGUCGGUUCUGGUGCUGUUCACAUUAUGUUACAGUUCAACUUUUAUGUUUUAGUUCUCUGCUUUUAUGUAUUUUUUUUUUUGGAUGACAAACUUGUAAUAAGGAAGGUUUUAGUGCUUGGUUUUAGAAUUGUGAGUUUCUAUUUUUUGUUUUUUCUUUGGAAAGGUCAGCUAUCUGUUCAUCUUCCUUGUAGCUAUGUCCCAGAGUUGGC